rnacentral:rRNA from 1 species
UACGAAGGGGGCUAGCGUUGCUCGGAAUCACUGGGCGUAAAGCGCACGUAGGCGGAUUGCUAAGUCAGGGGUGAAAUCCUGGAGCUCAACUCCAGAACUGCCCUUGAUACUGGCGGUCUCGAGUCCGGGAGAGGUGAGUGGAACUGCGAGUGUAGAGGUGAAAUUCGUAGAUAUUCGCAAGAACACCAGUGGCGAAGGCGGCUAUCUGGACGGUUUCUGACGCUAAGACGCGAAAGCGUGGGGAGCAAACAGG